CUGCUAUCGGAUUGAUACUAAGCCAUGCGAGUCUUUGUAGUAAUACAAGGCAGACGGCUCAGUAACACGUAGUCAACCUACCCUAUGGACAAGAAUAAUCUCGGGAAACUGGGCAUAAUUCUUGAUAGAUCAUAAUGCCUGGAAUGGUUUAUGGUUAAAAUGAUUCGUCGCCAUAGGAUGGGACUGCGGCCUAUCAGCUUGUUGGUGAGGUAAUGGCCCACCAAGGCGAUUACAGGUACGGGCUCUGAGAGGAGAAGCCCGGAGAUGGGUACUGAGACACGGACCCAGGCCCUAUGGGGCGCAGCAGGCGAGAAAACUUUGCAAUGUGCGAAAGCACGACAAGGUUAAUCCGAGUGAUUUCUGCUAAAGAAAUCUUUUGCCAGUCAUAAAACCACUGGUGAAUAAGGGGUGGGCAAGUUCUGGUGUCAGCCGCCGCGGUAAAACCAGCACCUCAAGUGGUCAGGAUGAUUAUUGGGCCUAAAGCAUCCGUAGCCGGCUUUGUUAGUUUUCGGUUAAAUCCAUGUGCUCAACGCAUGGGCUGCCGAAAAUACUGCAUAGCUAGGGAGUGGGAGAGGUAGACGGUACUCAGUAGGAAGGGGUAAAAUCCUUUGAUCUAUUGAUGACCACCUGUGGCGAAGGCGGUCUACCAGAACACGUUCGACGGUGAGGGAUGAAAGCUGGGGGAGCAAACCGGAUUAGAUACCCGGGUAGUCCCAGCUGUAAACGAUGCAGACUCGAUGAUGCAUUGGCAUAAUAGCCAGUGCAGUGUCGCAGGGAAGCCGUUAAGUCUGCCGCCUGGGAAGUACGUACGCAAGUAUGAAACUUAAGGAAUUGGCGGGGGAGCACCACAAGGGGUGAAGCCUGCGGUUCA
rnacentral:rRNA from 1 species